rnacentral:rRNA from 1 species
GACGAACCGUGCUAACGUUAUUCGGAAUUCACUGGGCUUAAAGGGGCGCGAUAGGCGGGCGGUCAAGUCCGGGGUGAAAGCCCCCAGCUCAACUGGGGAAGUGCCUCGGAUACUGACCAUCUCGAGGGAGAUAGGGGCGUGCGGAAGCUUCGGUGGAGCGGUGAAAUGCGUAGAUAUCGGAAGGAACACCGGUGGCGAAAGCGGCGCGCUGGAUCUCUUCUGACGCUGAGGCGCGAAAGCCAGGGGAGCGAACGGG